rnacentral:rRNA from 1 species
UUUAUCGGAGAGUUUGAUCCUGGCUCAGGACGAACGCUGGCGGCGUGCCUAAUACAUGCAAGUCGAGCGGACAGAUGGGAGCUUGCUCCCUGAUGUUAGCGGCGGACGGGUGAGUAACACGUGGGUAACCUGCCUGUAAGACUGGGAUAACUCCGGGAAACCGGGGCUAAUACCGGAUGGUUGUUUGAACCGCAUGGUUCAAACAUAAAAGGUGGCUUCGGCUACCACUUACAGAUGGACCCGCGGCGCAUUAGCUAGUUGGUGAGGUAACGGCUCACCAAGGCAACGAUGCGUAGCCGACCUGAGAGGGUGAUCGGCCACACUGGGACUGAGACACGGCCCAGACUCCUACGGGAGGCAGCAGUAGGGAAUCUUCCGCAAUGGACGAAAGUCUGACGGAGCAACGCCGCGUGAGUGAUGAAGGUUUUCGGAUCGUAAAGCUCUGUUGUUAGGGAAGAACAAGUACCGUUCGAAUAGGGCGGUACCUUGACGGUACCUAACCAGAAAGCCACGGCUAACUACGUGCCAGCAGCCGCGGUAAUACGUAGGUGGCAAGCGUUGUCCGGAAUUAUUGGGCGUAAAGGGCUCGCAGGCGGUUUCUUAAGUCUGAUGUGAAAGCCCCCGGCUCAACCGGGGAGGGUCAUUGGAAACUGGGGAACUUGAGUGCAGAAGAGGAGAGUGGAAUUCCACGUGUAGCGGUGAAAUGCGUAGAGAUGUGGAGGAACA